rnacentral:lncRNA from 1 species
GAGCAGAUGGAGAUGUUGUUGCUGCCUUUGUGUCUGUCAGGAUUGUCUCUUGUAUCUCCUCGUGUAGAUGUGUUUGUUUAUCUUUUAUUUGACGGGUAAUAUGUAAACAAAAAUCAUUGUUAGUAGUAUUUAUCAGAGUUCGUAAUUUACUUUGUUUUUUUGUUUAGGUAAUUUUACUGAUUUUGGUUGUCGUCUUCGUCUUCUUCGUUGC